UCUAUAUAUGGAACAUCAUUUCACGCCAUUCCAUAUCCUUUUGACACUUUUUAAAGGCUUGAUUGACCCUUUGGCUGUGGUUGGAGCGCGUAAUUCAAGAAUGGACGGAAGGUCUGCCGCCGCUUGUUUUUUGGUGAUGCUUGUGUUGUUCGGAAGCACUACAUCUGCAGAGAAAUGUUUGACUUCUUCGUUUUAUCGGCUGUUGUUUUGUACCAAGGGUAUUUGCAAGUCUGUAUGCGUGGGUCGUUUCGGUUACCCUGGGCAGGAGAUCCGCGAACAUUGGUGCAGUAAUUUUUUCUUUGCCAAGUGCACCUGCAAGGUUUGCGUUGAUGGAUAGAGCUUAAUGGAUAUGCUAAGUGCACUUCAUGUUAUCAAUAAAUAAUCCAUCACAUCGUGUCCUUGAA